GAUGAACGCUAGCGAUAGGCUUAACACAUGCAAGUCGAGGGGCAGCACAAGGUAGCUUGCUAUCUGGGUGGCGACCGGCGCACGGGUGCGUAACGCGUAUGCAACUUGCCCUAUACAGGAGGAUAACCCGUCGAAAGACGGACUAAUACUGCGUAUGCUCACAACUUGGCAUCAAGUGGUGAGGAAAGAAAUUCGGUAUAGGAUAGGCAUGCGUCCCAUUAGCUUGUUGGUGAGGUAACGGCUCACCAAGGCAACGAUGGGUAGGGGAACUGAGAGGUUUAUCCCCCACACUGGUACUGAGACACGGACCAGACUCCUACGGGAGGCAGCAGUGAGGAAGAUUGGUCAAUGGGCGCGAGCCUGAACCAGCCAAGUCGCGUGAAGGAUGACUGUCUUAUGGAUUGUAAACUUCUUUUAUACGGGAAUAACAAGAGUCACGUGUGACUCCCUGCAUGUACCGGAUGAAUAAGCAUCGGCUAACUCCGUG
rnacentral:rRNA from 1 species